UACGAAGGGGGCUAGCGUUGUUCGGAAUUACUGGGCGUAAAGCGCGCGCAGGCGGCUAUCCAAGUCAGUGGUGAAAGCCCGGAGCUCAACUCCGGAACUGCCAUUGAAACUGUUUAGCUUGAGGAUGAGAGAGGUGAGUGGAAUUCCCAGUGUAGAGGUGAAAUUCGUAGAUAUUGGGAAGAACCCCGGUGGCCAAGGCGGCGACCUGGUCCUUGACUGACGCUGAGGCGCGAAAGCGUGGGGAGCAAACAGG
rnacentral:rRNA from 1 species